rnacentral:lncRNA from 1 species
AUGUGUGCCGGAUUUGAUGAGCAUGCCAUGUUUCGUCUAAUGCUUUUGGUAUAUGACUUUUAUUUUCUCUUUCUGAAAAAUUUAAACUGUCUCGAUUAGCAAAGGUAAAAUGGCUGUCAUGUCAGUGGAGGCUCUCAUGGUGUUUAACGUUCUCUCUCAGUUCUGGCAUCUGCUGCACCUACUCAUGGCUCCAUCAGCUGCGCCUGCCGUGUUUGGAGGUGGCCUGUUGGGAUACGUUAUAUAUGACUGCACCCAUUACUACCUGCAUCAUGGACAUCCAUCCAAACACCCAGCUAAACACCUGAAGGUGAGAAAGAAAAGGAUUGCAUUUUGUUUUGGCAACUAUGGAUGUAGUUCUGAAGAGGAAAAAUGCUGCUUCUUUUGCACAGCGGUAUCAUCUAAACCAUCACUUCAAAGUUCAAAACAAGGGGUUUGGAAUAACUUCUUCACUCUGGGACAUCAUCUUUGGCACAUUGCCACCAGCAAAAACCUCUCAUCAGAAAAACUGAUUCUUUUGGACAAUGCAAGAAUAGCUUGUAAUUUAUUGAGGUUAGCCUCCUUCCUUUAUUCACUAAAACAGUUUUACAUUAACCACGAUGCCAUCUGUUCUCAUAUAUUCAUUAUUCAUUCUUUUUUUUCUUUUUUUUUCAGAUUCCCUACUGUUCUCUUUGGUGGUUCCUUUUUUUUUUCCUGCAUAUCCCAAAUAAAUAAACAUUGCCCUCCAAUUCUUUCCUUGGAUACAUCACAGAUCAGUGCCCUUGAUCAUCAUGUAUUGAGGGCAUUAUUUGAUGAAAGCUACCUUAUGUAUUAAACUGGUUUAUAUGGAAACAUGAGUUUUUAAUUGGUCAGUAAUUUGUUCAUUGUCUGCAUCCUAAUCCAACUCUUCAUCAUGCAGAACUCUAUCUUCAACUUUUCCUGUUAAGACACUGUACAGUGAUGAAUGUCGUGUUUAGCAGAGGUGGAAAGGAAAAUAAAAGAAUCUAAAUAGAAGAUGUGUAUAAGCUGGUCGAAUCAACAAGUGAAAAUGAGGCUUAAAGACUAGAAAGAUUUUUCUUGUUAUGAGUGGAGUACUAUAAAUCCUGUAAUAAGUAUUACGGCAAAGAUUGUGACACUCAGUGAGAAGAUUUCUUGUCUUGUGUUAUACGUAACUUGCAAAUGUUAUUACACAUCGCAUAUGGUGGAAUGCUUUUACAUAUUUUCAUAGAUGAUUCAUGACAAAUGAAAUCUAUUCAAUAAACUACGCCACAGUGUAGCUUAUGGAUAAAACAGAGUCGAACAAUACUGCUGGCUGAAUGUUAAUUAAAGCUUAUAGACUAUACGCUGAGAACUCAUACUUUAAUGAACUAAAAUAUUGAUGCCAAGAUAAGGCAGAAAGACAAAUCGAUAGUCCUUGCAAAAAUUAAAAUCAUGUGACCAGUGGAUUAUGAAAAAGCAUGCAAACAAUGAGCCCAAUACAUGUUGCUUCAUACUAAUGGUGAAUGCUCCCAUCGGCUUAGUCAACUUGACGUCCUACCAUUAGCUUCCUCUUGAACAUUGCUACAUUCAAUACCAGCACCACAUAGAGCCUAUCACACAUGUUAUCAAUAGCUUGGAAGUAAGCAAUCCUCCAUCUCGAUUUCAAUAAGAUGCUUCCACAAAUCGUCCAAAAUCCCACGAUAAAUCCUAGUGCACGGCACAUGUAUAGCCAAAUACUUUCAAUUCUGUCCAUAGAAUUUUCAUUUUCCUCUUCUUUUGUUGGAAUAUUGUCUAUACAAUUUUUUGUGAGAGGAGGGCCACAUAGAUCUGAAUUGCCGGCAUAGAAAGAUGGAUCAGUAAGCGUUUGUAAUUGGCUACCAGUGGGAAUUCUACCCGAAAGAUUGUUAUAUGACAAGUUCAAAUAAUUCAAGAAAUUUAACGCUGCCAAGGUUGAAGGAAUUGCUCCAGACAAAUUAUUUCUGGAGAGAUCAAGAAUUUCUAAUCGUUGCAUUCCAUUAAUGUUGUUCGGUAUCUUCCCCGUUAGGUAAUUUCUAGAUAGAUUUAAACUCCGUAAUCCAUGCAGAUUUCCCAACUCCUCAGGUAUACUUCCAGAUAAACCAUUGUUGGAGAGAUCAAUAACUUUAUCAAUUGAAAGCAAUCUUGUGGUAUACUCGAGUUCACUCCCUUUUAUGAAGAGCCACAUUACAUCCUCGUAGCUAUGGUUGUUGAAGUAUAAAUCACUUGAAGAAGAAGAUCUCUUCAAUGAACUGAAGUUGUAGGUGGUAUUAUUCCUGAAAGAUUAUUAUUCGAGAGAUCCAAUAUUUGAAGAGAUGUAAGAUGAGAUAGUUCAGGAAUUCUUCCGAUGAAGGCAUUCGAGCGUAAGCUGAGAGUCUUUAGGUAUGGUAGGCUUUCUCCAAUCCAAGCUGGUAUAUUUCCGAUAAAAUUAUUGUUCCCCAGAUCAAGAGUAACCAAGCUUGUACAACCUUUUAAAGAAAAAGGAAUUUGCCCUAUUAAAUUAUUGUUGCUCAGAUGGAGUGAUUGUAGGCUUUGCAAAUUGCUGAGGGAGUUGGGAAUUCUUCCUUGGAACUUGUUGCUCGAUAAGUCCAAAAUAAACAAACUCGAGGAAUUUUUCCAGCAAUUAGGAAGCUCUCCUGAUAAAUUAUUUUUGAAAAGUCGAAGCACUAGCAAAUACUUAUUUGGACAAAAAGAUAAGGGGAUGCUCCCGCUCAGAUUAUUGAUAGAUAAAUCAAACCAAUUUAAGUUUGGCAUUGUGUUUGAGAUUUUUGAUGGAAAAUGUCCUGAGAAUAAGUUCUUUGAGAAAUCCAAAUAAGAAAUUUGCUUUGAAAAGAGUUGUGGUAGCUCACCAGUAAUCUUAUUGUUAGAGAGAUCCAAAAACUGAAGACUUGGCAUCAUAUUUACGAUUCUUGGAGAAAGGUGGCCCGUGAGCAAGUUGUUAGAGAGAUCCAAAUACAUUAGGUUUGGAAGAUAUUGUGGCACAUCACCGCUAAUCUCAUUAUUGGAAAGAGACAAAUACUCGAGAGAGGAAGGAAGCCAGUUGGGAAUCCCUUCUUUGAUACUUGUACUUGAUAAAGAUAAAUCACGAAGAGUUGUUUGCAAUCGGAGCCAUCUCGGAAAAUGAGGCCUCGGCAAUAUUUGGCAGAAGGUCAUAUAGAGGCUUCGAAGCUGAAAAGGAGGAAUCCACUCAUCACCUUUAUUCAAAUCGAUGUAGUUGUAUGAAAUGUCCAAAUACUUUAAACUCGACAGAUUAACCAAGUGGAGCUCCGACAAGUGAAAUGAGUUAUAAGAAAGAACCAAAUAGAUAAGGCCCUUCAGUCCUCCGAUGCCUUCUGCAAUCGACCCAUUCAAAUCGUUGGAGUAUAAAAACAAAGAUCGCAGCGAUGAUAGAUUUCCAAGAGAUCUAGGAACUGAUCCAUAGAGGGAGUUGUGUGAAAGAUCAAGAAACUUGAGAUUUUUGAAGUUCCCCAACCAAUCUGGAAUGGAACCCCUCAAUUGGGUGCCGCUGAGAUUCAAUUCCUCUAAGAUGAGCAUUAGACAUCCAGAGAAGACCUGUUCUAGAUUGGCUAGCACAUUAUUGACAGGCACUUUAUCUAGGUCGAGAAUUUGGAGCUUGCAGAGGUUGGAUAGAGGUUCUGGUUUGAAGCCGUCAUGGAACGUAUUAUAAGACAAGUCGAGUUGCCUGAGAUUUGUCAACUUGGCAAUUGAAUCAAGAGUUUGCCAAUAUAGGUGAUUCGACCCAAGAGAAAGCACCUCGAGGCUGGUUAUGUUAAAUAGCCAGUCUGGCACAGUAGAGUUGAUGAUGUUGUCUUCCAAAUUUAGAGUUGUGAGAGAUGUGAAGUUGACAUGAGGCAGCGAAGGAGGAAAGGUCUCCAAGCCACAAGAAGCCAUUUCAACCACUUGAAUACGAGAGAGUGCGUUCAAUGCUUGCAACCAAUCGGACACAUUUCUAAAUCUAACCUGAUUCAUGUUAAGGUGCUGUAGAGAAGUCAAACGAGAGAUCCAUCCAAUGUUUUCGAUGUAUAAAUCAUCAUCUAGAUAGAAAUUAUAAGAAAGGUCGAGUUGGUGUAAAGUGGAGAGAUUUCCCAGCUGAUCAGGUACUUUACCUCCGAAGCCUGCUCCCGAGAGAUUAAGAUAUGUUAGUCUUCCAAAGGAUCCCAAGAACUCUGGGAUACGAUUUCCCUCAAAAUUGUUGCCACUAAGAUCCAAAUGAUUAAGGUGUUGGAGAGAAAGCAAUGAUGGAGUUAUGCCACCGUGCAGUGCCCAUCUGCAUCCAACAUCAUCAUCAUCGAAGUUAGUCUCAGAGCAACCCAUGUAUGAGACAUCUGACCGAUGUCUAUUGCGAAGGUGGAGCUCGAUAACAUGGCCAGUGUCGUUGCUGCAGCGGAUUCCUUCCCAACUACAACAAUCCUCCCCAACCCAGGAAGAAAGAAUAUGUGAAGGAUCACGGACUCGUUGCUUGAACUCCAUGAGGGCUCUCCUCUCUGUCUCUUGACAGCGGAUCAUGGAGAAACCAUUCGAGAUCCCGAGCUCAAUGCAAAGCACGGCAAGAGAGAAGACGAUCACAAGGAGAGGGGAUCUCCCACCCAUGGAUGGAUAUUAGAGGGUCUAACUAACUUCUUAUUACCAUGUAGCAGGCAGCAGUCCAUGUGUGUGUAUUUAUAUGAAUAUUCUGCUCUAGCCUCUUGUGAACAUGAACAUUAGGACUAUGGACUUGGUGGAUGCUGGAUAUCCAUAGAUAGAUAUCGUUAUUAGGUUGCUAGUCAAAGUAGUCUGAAAUGAGAACGAUUCAACACAUUGGAAAUUGGGUGCCGUAGAGAGGCCGGGGAGCUUUUCCUCCACAUUUUACACGAUCGUGAUCUCAAUUUGGAGUUUCCUACCUUUGCUCAUAUUGGAUUUUAAGAUUUACGAAUACGAUGAUGGUUCCAUCAAAACGAUUUUUGAUGUAUCACAUAUCAAGAUUAUAACUUGUUUGGAGAUUCAAAACAUGGGAAUGCAAUCUGUUCACUGUUGUACAAAUCAUUUAGAGAGAAGUUACGUAGAAAUAUGAUCCUAAAGUAGUUACAGAGGAGAAAAAGGUGGUCGUUCAAAUUCAUCGCAUCGUACAAAACUGAUCAUACGAGGCUGCUCAAUGCGUGUUUUCGAGUCAACAUAUGCGUGCUGUGUAGAAGACAUUCUUCGCUUCAAACUUUGAUCAAACAAAAGAGCUCCUCAAAAUUGUUAUCAUAUACUUGACCCAAUUAAUCUGUCCAAUCUUUGAAAACUAUAACCAAGAAAAAAAGCUACUAAAAUCACUAUCGUUUACUUUGACUCAAUUAUGAUGUUUAAUAUUCUAAAAUAGAUGAGAAAUUUGAUAAUGAAAAUUGAUGGUUACGUGUCAUGACUUUAUAAAAUAUCAUGGACAGAAGAGUUAUAAUUUAAAAUGAUGAGAAAGCCAUUCCCGAUGCUAUGCAGAAGAGAAGAUAUGCAUUUACUGAAAAGACACCAAAGAAAAUCCACUAUGAAUUACUUGACCCAAUUAGUUUGCCUGAUCUUUGAAUUAGUGGCUAUUUUCAUAGAUUUUAUCAACGUCAAUCUUUAUCCGAGGAUGUAAAACACGAGAGUUACAAAUAUUUGCAACAAGACUUUUAGAAAAAAGCAAACCUAAAAUUUUAGUGAUCAAAUACAGAGCAAGCCAACUUCAUUUGUAGAAAAUAUAUAGUGAAGCUUGUUGUGCCAAUCCCAUUUCAAUAUGAUUAUAGACUUGGCCUUGCAAAAUUAGCUGAUAAAUUUGCACGGCUACGACAUUCCAUUUAUCAUAGGAGGUAUUAAACACUACUCGUCUUUCCGAAGGACUCAACUUUUGUCCGUGUGAAAUAGGAAAAUUUGUGGAUGUUAGAUAAAUAAAUAAAUAAAAACUCAAAAUCGCUAUCAUUUGCUUAACCUACUUUGUCUAUUCUAUGAAUGAAUAACCAAUGGAAAAAAUUGUACUUAAAAGUUACUCUCAGUUACUUGACUAAAUGAAUAUACUUAAUGUAAUGUUCCAAAGAAAUCGAGAAAUUUAGCAACAAAAGAUAUCACUUUUAUUAUUUAUGAUAAAUAUUUGAAAUGUCACAUAUGUUAUUAGAAAUUGUACAUCGAGAAAUUGCAUCAAUCGUUAACCAGAGGAUACAGUGAUUUAGAGAGAGUUUGAAAUAGUCAUAGAAUAUGUUGUAUCACAAGCAUGUCAUGAGUCAAAAGAUUGUUCUCAAAUCAAUAUGAUUGAAUUAUUGGACUCAAUUUUCCAACCCACUGUUGGAUUAAGAUUUUAAGAUUCUAAGACUAGUGGCUUAUGUCUUGUAUUACGAAUGUAACAAUAUGGAUUAUAUAUUUUAUUAUUAUUAAUUUAAACUUAAGUAUUUUGGAUAUUUAGUUUCGACUUAAUAACUUAUAGGUAAUAUUGAUUCAUCAAUACGGAUCAUGACAAAUCAGAAUGUGAUUGAGGUAUUAAAAUAAGAUUUUUUUUGUUAGUGAUUAAAUUAAGCAUAAAUUGGAUUGUAGAAGCAAUGACGAGUGUCUUUCACAAAGCAAUAAUACAACUUAAAAAUAUCAAUGCUAUCGUGAUCCAAUUUGAUGAGAUAAUUAACUUAUUAAUUUUGUUAAGUUUAAAAUAUUAAUUUAAAAUAUUUAAGCCAUAUAUCUUAGGACCGUAAAGACACUAAUAGGAGGGUGACUUAGUGCUUUCGAAAAAGUUUAAACGAUUCGAAGAAUUUCAUUCGAUGAAACUCGAAUCAGAAAGGGGGUUAAUUAGUGCUUUUGAAAAACUUGAAACGAUUCAAAGACUUUUGUUCGGUGAAACCCGUAUCCGAAAGAGAGGGAAUUUGUGCUUUCGAAAAAGUUAAAAUAAUUCAAUAACUUUCGAUGAAAUCCGUAUCGGAAAUACAUUUAAUUUCAAAUGUGAGUAAGAAUAGUGACUAAGUAAAUCAGUUAGUAAUAAUAAUGAAAAGCAUAAAGAAAAAUAUAAAUUGAUUUAUAGUGGUUUGAUCAUCCCGACAUACGUUCACUCUGGAUUCCUCUUCCUUCGAGGUCAUCGACUUUCAUUAUCGAUCUUUUUUAUAAUGGGCAAAGAUUAACUAUCCUUGUUAUAACAAUUUUCUCAUUUUUACAGGCUUAGGAGAGAACAUUUAUAACUCUCUUUUAUAAGUAAUUCUUACAUCUCCCUUUGAAUAACGCUUUAAGGAGGAAAGAACUCGAUAGAAUUUAUACUUAGAAUCACAAGUUUUUCAUGCUCUUUUCUUGCUAUCUCAAGCAAAAAUGAAUGGGGUAUUUAUAAGCCCCAAAUGACUUCAAAAAUGGAGUAAAAAAUUCAAAUACAUAGAUUUUCAGAGUAUUGACGGUGCCACUGCUCGAUAUAGUUAUGAGAUUGUAUUUGGAUGGUACAUCUGACACUGGACAGUACCACCACUGACCUUGACGGUACUGUUGUCAAGGCUUUUUUUUUUUUGAAAAUUACAUUUUGUACUUUCAAACUCAUAGGUGGCACAACAGCUAGGCCUAACUUUAGGUUACUGAAUUAGUCUUCCAAUAAACCCAAUGAGUCCCUAAUCAAGUUGACAUGAAAUAUAAACUGUCUCGAUCAACAAAGGUAAAAUGCUGUAUCAUGCCGAUGGAGGCUCUCAUGGUGCUUAACGUUCUCUCAGUUCUUCCAAAAGAACCCCUAAUCAAGUUGACAUAGCUGCAUCAGCUGCGCAUGCUGUGUUUGGAGGUGGCCUGUUGGGGUACGUUCGUUAUAUAUGACUGCACUCAUUGCUACCUGCAUCAUGGACAUCCAUCCAAACACCCAGCUAAACAUCUGAAG